UCUAUUGUUAUCAUUGACCCCUUUUUGUUGCCCGAUUAAUUAGUUUUCGUUAUUCAAAUACGUUAAAAGAAUUUAACCCACUAAUUAGGUUUUUUGGGAUUAAAUUGAUAUCAAGGUCUUCGGUUUGUUUUAUUAUUUUUAUAUUUCUUGGUUCAGGUGUUGAAUCGUAUUGUUAGUCUGCAUUAAGUUUUGUAUCUUCCACUAAAUGCACAAGCUUUUACGGAAUGUUGAUUGAUUUAUUUAAGUAUAACUGUAUCCUUGGGGAUGAUAUGAAAUUGUCUUUGAAAUUUAGGUUCGUUAAGAGUUUGUAAAUUUAUUGCAUUUUGUUGGCUUUCGCCUAAUAGAAGAAGUUGAAUUGUAUGGAUUCCCUGUUGUGCUUUCUUCCUAAUAUUAGUACCAUAAUUUAAAAUCUUUGAUGAUUCUUGAAAUGUCGUAUUGUAGUCUUGAUGUCAAGAAUUACUUAUAUCUUCUAUGUAAAUAUUUUUUUCACUUAGUUAAUUUAUUUGCAAUCAGUUCAAUCCGAGGCUUCCGAAAAGUUAAAAGCUACUUUUAGACAAAAGUUUUCUAAGGUGAAGCUCUUUUGCUCCCGGCCAAACGGGCCCUUAGCCUUUAUUGAUGGUAUUAAAGUAGACACUCUUCAUAUAUUUGAGUUAUGAAGCCAAUUAAUCACCAAGGAGUUGGAAUUGAACUGUGCACCUUUCCUACUUCAUUUGUUCCUUUUUAUUGCCGGAAAAAGGCAUAUCAUCUCAGGCUAUCGGAUCAUAUUUUCUGACUUUUCUUUACCUCUUUUCCUGUUGUGAACUUCAUUCUAGCAACCUACUAUGUUUGAGAAUACUGAUUGCCUUAGUGCUCUUAAGAGUUAUCCUUCCUGUGAAGUCCACUGAUACUAUCAGACAUCUCAAAAGAAUCUUUGUUAGAGUUGAAGAGCCAGGGAGUCUUUUGUUUAGUUUUUAAUUAUGCUAGAAAAAUUUGAGCCAAAGAGUUAGUAAAAGGGAAAAAAAUCAGAUCUUUAUUAGAUUUUGAUUAAAGUUAUGGAAUGUGUGGUUGAAAAGUUGUGGGUCUUUUGAAAUUGUUGUUAAAAUGAUUGUUUUUGCGGAACCAAACUGGGGCUAAGUGUUGUUUUGGAAAACCACGAGUCAUUACUUUGUUUAAAAGAUUCUUUAUACCUUGGUGAAAAAGAAGAAAAAGUUAUCUUCAACACAUUAUCAGUUCUAUGAGAACAUUUGCUUCCAUUUUCAUCUUUCUAAAGAAAUAUGCACUCCAACAAUGUUGAGAAUUGAUAUCUUUCAUCAAAGUAGCAUGUUAGAUCCUUUCUCAUCGUAGUGUUGGGAUACAAAGGGAGAGCUACUCCAGAAAUGUCAAAUUUUAAUUUUACAUGGUAGCUAUGUGGUUUACUCCUGAACGUGAUCGAGAUCCACGUAUGAAAUUAAUAUGUCCAUAAAUUUACUGGAGAAGAAUAACUGAAAGAAGUAUUAGAUCGAUUGUAAAAUUGAAAGAGUAGUGUAAAAGAUAUAGUGAAGAAAGUGGAGUUUCGUUAUAUGGUAACUCCCAAGUAUCAAGGUUCCAUCUCUUUUUCAUAAGAUUUAAAUUGGUCGUUAGUUACAACAGAUUGCAAAAAUAAUUUCGUUAAUGGGACUCGAGGCAAUGGGUUUAGAUGAGAGUGCCUUGCACAUUCUCCCUGGCAGCUGAAGUAGCUUCAGAAGCUUUUGUAGACACUCGUGUCUCUUCUUAUGUCAUUGUUGAGGGGUGCAGAUAUAUCACAUGAGCAGAUUUUGAUAGCUUAAUAAAAAGUGUUGCACAUUUAGAAAGAGAUCGAUAUGUUUGUCAUUGUAAUGGUUGCAAACUCGGAAAUAUUUUGUGAUCAAACUACUUCAGAGUGUGUGAGAGUCAUCCAAAUGCUGCAAUCUUGCUGCGAGCAAUGCGAAUAUAAGUCGACACAUUGUGCAUCAGUAUCUGGCCUUCUAAA